GGUUGGGCUGUUCGCCCAUUAAAGCGGUACGUGAGCUGGGUUCAGAACGUCGCGAGACAGUUCGGUCCCUAUCUGUGGUGGGCGCAGGAGAUUUGAGGGGGCUUGUCCUUAGUACGAGAGGACCGGGAUGAACGAACCUCUUGUGAUCCAGUUGUCACUCCAGUGGCACAGCUGGGUAGCGAAGUUCGGUGAGGAUAAACGCUGAAUGCAUAUAAGCGUGAAACCUUCCCCAAGAUGAGAUCUCCCAAGCCGUAAGGCUAAGAAGGGCACUGGAAGACUACCAGUUUGAUAGGACGGAUGUGUAAGCGCAGCAAUGCGUUGAGCUAACCGUUACUAAUAGCCCAUUCGGCUUGACCAUAAAA
rnacentral:rRNA from 1 species